rnacentral:rRNA from 1 species
GGCCGAACCCUGACGGCUUGCCUAUAUUGCAGUCGAACGAACUCUGGUAUUGAUUGGUGCUUGCUUCAUGAUUUACUUUUGAGUGAGUGGCAAACUGGUGAUUAACACGUGGGAAACCUGCCCAAAACCGGGGGAUAACACCUGGAAACAAAUGCUAAUACCGCAUAACAACUUGGACCGCUUGGCCCAAGUUUGAAAAAUGGCUUCGGCUAUCACUUUUGAAUGGCCCCCCGGCGUAUUACCUAAAUGGUGGGGAAACGGUUCCCCUGGGCAAUGAUACUUACCCAACCGGAAAGGGUAUCCGGCCCCAUUGGGACUGAAACCCGGCCCAAACUCCUACGGGAGGCACCAUUAGGGAAUCUUCCCCAAGGGACAAAAGUCUGAUGGACCACCCCCCCGUGAGUGAAAAAGGGUUUCGGCUCUUAAAACUCUGUUGUUAAAAAAAACCAUUUCUGAAAGUAACUGUUCAGGUAUUGACGGAAUUUAACCAAAAAGCCACGGCUAACUACUUGCCACCACCCGCGGUAAUACUUAGGUGGCAAGCGUUGUCCGGAUUUAUUGGGCGUAAAGCAAGCGCAGGCGGUUUUUUAAUUCUGAUGUGAAACCCUUCGGCUCAACCAAAAAAUUGCAUCGAAAACUGGGAAACUUGAUUGCAAAAAAGGACAUUGAAACUCCUUGUGUAGCGUUGAAAUGCUUAAAUAUAUGGAAGACCACCAUUGGCGAAGGCGGCUGUCUGGUCUGUAACUGACCCUAAGGCUCAAAGUAUGGGUAGCAAACAGAAUUAAAUACCCUGGUAGUCAUCACCGUAAACAAUGAAUGCUAGGUGUUGGAAGGGUUUCCGCCCUUCAUUGCUGCAGCUAACCGCUUUAAGCAUUCCCCUUGGGGGAGUACGCCGCAAGGGCUGAAAACUCAAGGAAUUGACUGGGGCCCCGCACAAGCGGUGGAAGCAUGUGGUUUAAUUCUUAUCUUACGCGAAGAACCUUAACCAGGUCUUGCCUUCUUUGCUAAUUUUAAAAACAUAAAACU